CACCUACCAACUGCGCGCACCAACCCAACCCGUGGGGACCAAACCCCAUUUUCUCUGCCUCCGAUUCAUGACGUUCGAAAGCACAUCGGAUGGAAUCCGGCAACUUCACACGAUGGAUUUGUGAGUGGAUUUCCUUCAAUUCCACAGUCGGGUGCCAAAACCUCUCGACGUCCUCGGGCUGGAUGGAUCUCAUUGUACAUCUGCAUGAGGCUCGCACUCAUUGUAAUAUUGACACUCGCACUCAUUGUAAUAUUGACAGUGGAAAUGACAGCAAAUUGUAUCUCAAUAAUGGUACCACCGACAAA